rnacentral:lncRNA from 1 species
GAGCUCGUCACUCAUUGGCACAUCAGUUAUCUCUGCCCUGCAGAGAGCCAAGGCGUCCUUCAGACAGGAAAUAGGAUCUUAGUGGGUGGCCGCCAAGAGCGCACAGACUUUGAAGCAGGAAAAGACAGUCUCUAGAGCAACAUGGAAAGGAUCCAGUAUUUGUUUUCAGGCAAAAGCAAGCCUCCAAAAGCCCCUUGGUUCUUCUCUGUGUGUCUCGCCCCUUCUGCCUUGUACACCAGACUGCCGGCAAGCAAGCGGGGAGGUGGCGAACAGCUGGGAUCCUCCAGUGAAAAGUUUGCUCAGCGCGAGAGAUGUCAAGAGGCUGGGAUUGUCGCCUAUCGGGAGGUGGGGAGCUCUCUCACUCACACUUCCUGGGAAAUGAAGGAGAACUAAUAGGCAGCCCGCAUUUGCAGCCAGCCAACCUGGGUGGUAUUCCUUGAAGUGAAGCGCUCAUAAAUCCCUUCUGGGGCCAGAGCCGGUUUCACAAGCUGCAGGAUUUGGGUGGCCUGCCUGCUCUUUGGGAGCGGGCUUGGGAAGCUGAAGAAAUUGAAUCAGGACCUCAGGCCCUUUACAGACUCCCUUCUACACUUGGUUGCUGAUUAAGAACAUUAUGUGGCAUUUAAAAUGGCACAAUUAUCUUCCGUUGGCCGUUCCUAGCUAAAAGUAGACUCCUAUCAGCCCGUGACUGACGACAAGAAGGCUCUUCGUCCCUGUUUUUGAAAUAAACAUGGGUAUAAUCUGAAUGUGUCAACUGCUUAUUUCCUAAGGGAGUCUAAUGGAUAAUUUUUAAAAUCUAACUUGGACGUAUUCAUAAUAAGCAUCGUCCAUUUUGCUAAGUUCUUUCCUAAGGCAAAUAAAUAGAGUCUUGCAAUUGC